rnacentral:rRNA from 1 species
UACGGAGGAUGCGAGCGUUAUCCGGAUUUAUUGGGUUUAAAGGGUGCGUAGGCGGACUGUCAAGUCAGCGGUAAAAUUGAGAGGCUCAACCUCUUCCCGCCGUUGAAACUGGUGGUCUUGAGUGGAUGAGAAGUACGUGGAAUGCGUGGUGUAGCGGUGAAAUGCAUAGAUAUCACGCAGAACUCCGAUUGCGAAGGCAGCGUACCGGCAUCCAACUGACGCUGAGGCACGAAAGCGUGGGGAUCAAACAGG